GCAGGUUUUACUUGUUAAAACUGUUCAGUUGUCAUCAAAAGUUCUAUUCAUUUUAAGAUGUCUCUAAACUUCAACUAUGUUUAGUAAAGGUGGUAUUUUAAGGAUAUUGUAAAAUUUGAAUCGCUUAAUUCUCUUUCCGGGGAGACGCGGAUUGUCCGCACUCCUCACUACAUUCUACGCUCUUACAGUGUAACCUAGUCCUACAGAAGUGGGAAGUACGCUAGUAACUAAAGAGAAUCAGUUUCCGGAAAAAUGAAUAACGAAUUUUGCAAAAACCAAUGCAGGAUUGGUUCGUUUACGCCAAACUGGACUGUGGCGAUAGUUGACGAUUUAAACACUCGAGCCAAGCCAAGCGACAGGGAGUAUUUUACAAGGCUUUGGUUAAAUACAUUAUAGUUCGUUGUUCUUCAGUUACAAACAUAGAAAAUAACUAUACAUCUGUGGUACACGAUGGGUGCGUUCCAUUUAAUCAAAAAUUUCCGAUUUGCUUUUAAAAAAUUUUCGCGUUUCGAAUCGGAACCGUAUUUUCUAAUUUCUUAUUCCAUUCCCACGCGGGAAAAAUUUCCGCGCGCCUAGCUCUUCGCUUUUAAGCUACGGCAUUUACUCGACGAUAUGCUUGAAGACAGUGAUGAAAUAUUUGUCUUAAGUGCCAUAAGUUGCUUUAUGCGAAAAAUAGUAACACGUAUUCGCGAUUAUUUAGAGCGAACUCUUCCGAGAUAUUUGCUCGACCAACUUGGGGUUCAAGCAACAUUUCCGUAAACGACAUAAACUUUGAAAUUAUCUCGCAAGCAAUAAUGCAAACCGGUCAAGUACCCAUAGUUAAUUUUUCUGGGCGAUCAGUCAUUGCUCCACGGAAAAGCAGAUUGUAUCGUUAUUGUGGAGGAUGGCUAAUCAAGAACCGGCUCGGGCUGUGGCAGAUCGUUUUGACCUCACAUGCAGAUCUGGUAACGCCGCCAUCUUGUAAUAAGCUUUAUUGAAGUGUUUUGGUAAACAUUUACAGUUGUAGAAAUAGGAACAAGUCGUAACGGGUGGAAAAGCCAAAUGGCUGAGAAAAUUUCUGAAAUAUCCAAAUUUCCGGAAAAAUGGAACACCUCGAGAGCUUGACCAGAAUUUUCGAAACGAGUUUCCGGAAAUUUUCUGUUUCUUUCGAUUUUACACCGGAAUUGCCGAAAAUUUUGGUCGAGUAGAACACGCCCGUGAUAAUUUGGCCCUAACAAUUCAUUGGAACAUAUAAGCCAUAAGUGGACGGCAAAUCUGGAUUGUAGGAAAGUAAACGAUAUAAUGGUGAGCAGGGAAAUCGAUUGGUUAAGGCAAAAUGUACUAAAAAUGCAAGCAACGUUCACGAUGGAGCGACGCUGGAAGCUAUGGAGCGUUGGUUUAAGAACGGUCGGUCCACGAACUCGGACAGAAACGCGAGGAAAACUGAAAGGUGCAUAUGAAUUGAAAUGAGCUCAGAUGAACUCCAAGCAACUGAAAUGUACACAGAUAAAAGCCAACUACUAAUUUCUUGCACAAGCAGGUACGUAGCUGAGGACUUCUUCGACAACAAGAAUAAAGAGAUAUUCCUACGAGUAACAGAUGAGAUAUUGUGCCUCGAAUGCAAUAUUAUUGAAUCCAUGGAGCGGAGAAGUACACUUAAGACAAAAAAAAAGCAAAUGACCACAGAGAUAAGUCAUGUAUUUUUUUUUUCUUUUCAUUAUAAUCGUGCCUCAUGCUAUUGUGCAGUUUCUGUUAUGGUUAUGCUUUGUUCUCCUACAAACGAUCACAUUGAUUAUACAAUAAACAUUUUUUGCGGA
rnacentral:lncRNA from 1 species